UACGGAGGGUGCAAGCGUUAAUCGGAAUUACUGGGUGUAAAGGGAGCGUAGGCGGGAAUACAAGUUGGAUGUAUAAACUAUCGGCUCAACCGGUAGAGGCAUUCAAAACUGUAUUUCUUGAGUGAAGUAGAGGCAAGUGGAAUUCCUAGUGUAGCGGUGAAAUGCGUAGAUAUGCGGAGGAACACCGAUGGCGAAGGCAAUCCCCUGGGCCUGCACUGACGCUCAUGCACGAAAGCGUGGGGAGCAAACAGG
rnacentral:rRNA from 1 species